UACGUAGGGGGCUAGCGUUGUCCGGAUUUAUUGGGCGUAAAGAGCGUGUAGGCGGCCAGGUAGGUCUGCUGUGAAAACUCGAGGCUCAACCUCGAGACGUCGGCGGAAACCAUCUGGCUAGAGUCCGGAAGAGGAGAGUGGAAUUCCUGGUGUAGCGGUGAAAUGCGCAGAUAUCAGGAAGAACACCCAUGGCGAAGGCGGACUCUGCGGU
rnacentral:rRNA from 1 species